UACAGAGGUCCCAAGCGUUGUUCGGAUUCACUGGGCGUAAAGGGUGCGUAGGCGGUCGGGUAAGUCUGAUGUGAAAUCUCACAGCUUAACUGUGAAACUGCAUUGGAUACUAUCCGGCUCGAGGAAUGGAGGGGAGACUGGAAUACUUGGUGUAGCGGUGAAAUGCGCAGAUAUCAGGAGGAACACCGGUGGCGAAGGCGGGUCUCUGGGCCGAUACUGACGCUGAGGAGCGAAAGCGUGGGGAGCGAACAGG
rnacentral:rRNA from 1 species